rnacentral:lncRNA from 1 species
CUCUACCUGAAGACCCAGCUAUGCAUACCACUCCUAGGCAUAUACCCAAAAGAUGUUCCAACACAUAACAAGGACACAUGCUCCACUAUGUUCAUAGCAGCCUUAUUUAUAAUAACUAGAAGCUGGAAACAGCCCAGAUGUCCCUCAAUAGAAGAAUGGAUACAGAAAAUGUGGUACAUUUACACAAUGGAAUACUAUUCAGCUAUUAAAAAUGACAGCUUCACAUACUUUGUAGGCAAAUGAGUGGAACUGGAAAAUAACAUCCAGAGUGAGGUAACCCAGACCCAAAAGAACAUACAUGGUAUGUACUCACUGAUACGUAGAUAUUAUCCCAAAAGCUCAGAAUACCCACAAUACAACUCAAGGACCAUAUAAAGCUUAACAAGAAGGAAGGCCAAAACAUUGAUGUUUCAAACCCAUUUAGAAGGUGGACCAAAAUAAUUAUGGGAGGCAGAAGGAGAGAAGGACCUGGGUGGGAGAGGGGAGGCGAAGGGAAAAAAGGGAGCAGGACCAGGUAUGGGAAGAGAUAAGAGAGAAGUCCAGAGGGCCAGGAGAACAAGUAGAAAUAAGUAGCAGUGACUGGUGAGGAACUUGGGGAACCAUUAGAAAGGUCCAGAUGCCAGGGAUGUGAGAGGCUCCUAGGACCCACAGUAGAUAGACAUGGCCCCCAGUGAAGGGAUGGGGCCACCCAUCCAUCUCAAAAGUUUUUAACCCAGAAUUGUCCCUGUCUAAAGGAAAUGCAG